UUUCACUCAAACUUUGCUUUUAAUUGAUGGCUUUGUACUUGUAAAAGGAAAUUGGUGGCUGGAAACCACAAAGGAACAGGAAACAGCUGUAUGAAUGGGUGCUGCAGGCGAAGGAGGAGUGAAUGAGAUACUUUUGCAAGCUGCCGUUUCCUAACUGAAUAUACAAAUCAGACAUCUUCAAUGUGAGCAGUGACUCUAUUUCAGUGUUCUCCAGAACACUUCCCAAAUUUCCAUUCUUCAGCCUGUCAUGUUUUUGCAGUGAAACCACAAUCAGCCCUUUCUUCCACAAAGGGUCCUUUUCUCUUUGGUGUCAUGGAUUUGCAGUGAAACCAAAGCUAAGCAUUCAACACACAAGCUUUUAUACAAUGGCAAAAGGAUGGAGAAGUGAGAACUGUGUUC
rnacentral:lncRNA from 1 species